UUACUAGCUCUAAUAAAGAAGUUAACUUUUACUCAACUAUGGAAUGGGAAUUAUGUAAAUACUCCCAGCAAGUAACAUUAAACAAUACUAGAAAUAGUAAUUUAGUUAAGUAAUAAUUAUGGGGCCAAUCAGGUGCCAGCAGCCGCGGUCAUACCUGAGCAUAAGUUAACUCCCUUAGAAUAGACCUUACAAAUCAAUUAAAAAAAGCUAGUGAAAUAGGUUUUUUAUUGACCCUAACUUGUAAAUGUAGUCCAAACUCUGUAAAUAAACUAGGAUUAGAUACCCUAUUAUAAAUGAGUACAAAGUAUUUCUAAGCACUAAAGCUAUAUAGCUAAAACUUAAAGAGCAUGGCGGCAAACUUUAGCCUCAGGGGAACUUACCUGAUAAUAGAUAACCCACAAGACUUUCUACUUACCCUCUUAGUUUGUAUACCGCCGUCUUCAGGGCUUACUUAAGGUAGGCACCAAAAAUGAAAAACAAAUAAGACAGGUCAUGGUGCAGCUUAUGGGUAAGUCAAGGCGAGUUACAAUAUUCAAUUUUCCAGACCUGAAAAAAAAUCUUUUUAGAAAAGAUGGACUUGAAAGUAAAUUUUAUAUAAAAUAAAAAUUGAAUCUUCACAAAGUUUGUGCACAAAUCGCCCGUCACUCUCGUUGAAAAAGGAGAUAAGUCGUAACACAGUAGGGCUAACGGAAGUUGGCCC
rnacentral:rRNA from 1 species